rnacentral:lncRNA from 1 species
ACAGUCAGACGUUUUGUAAAUGUCGGAGCUGGACCAUGAGAGAGUCCUGGACUGAUGGCUCCAUCACACGAUCACUUAGCCACAGUCUGGAGUUGUUAUGCGCAGCACCUCGGCUUGCUUUCCCUAAGCACACCUCAAAUUGAAAGGGAGGUAAAGCCUCAUCAGUGAAACAGGCAAAUGCUGGGGUAGUGAGUCAUCUCCAGCUCUGAGAAGGGGAAAUGCCUAGAGCAAGGGCUACAGCCUUCACAGCCCCACCAGUUCCCAGUUCCAAUAUUGUUUCCUGGAAUGAACUUUUACAACCAGGAAGAAGCUAUUUAAAACCUUCAUUACGAAACUUUAGCAUCUCACCAUGAAGGAUAUUUAAAAGCAAAAUGACCUGAAGCAGGUGUGAGUAAUCUGUGGCUAGAACAGAGCUCUGCUCCAGGCACAAGCACUGCUGUAGGUAAAGUGCUGAAGAAGAGGAAGACUACAGGCUAUUUAUCCAUGGUGGCAGCACAGCUUGGGGUAAGGCAGAGCUAAGACGACCCUCUGUCUUUGUGAAGAUGCCAGAGGAAUCCACCAAAGCCGUCAUAUCUCUCCUGAUUGAUGAUAUAAUGACUCAGUCUCCAACAUGGGGCUCUGCCAUACUCAAUACUUGGCUUCCAGGGUCGUUAUGCCUUUCAACAGCAUGCUGGCAAAGAGAAACGGCAUGGAGGAUCACAUGUGGAGGUCUUUACGGCAUAAGCUUGGGAGCACCAGACAUUCUGCCCUCUACAUCCCAAUGGAUGGCACUUAGUCACAUGACCACUCCUCACUGCAAAUUAAGCUGGGCUGUGUGAUUUAAUUGUAUGCCUAGGAUGAAGAGCUUUCUGGUCUCUCUAAUAGCUACCAAUGAUUUUAUGGUUGAUCUUGAAUAUUAAUAUUCUAAUAACCAAGUGUACAAAAACAUAACUUGAAUAUUUUGGGUUUUGUCUUUAAAAGCUACAUCCUGUAAACACACAUAUUAGUAGAG